CAUAGCGACUAUCGUGGCAUAUCAAUAAGCGGAGGAAAAGAAACUAACAAGGAUUCCCUUAGUAACGGCGAGUGAAGCGGGAAGAGCUCAAGUUUGAAAUCUUCAAGGUUCUACCUUGACGAAUUGUAGUUUAUAGAAGUGUUUUCUGUUAGUGGAGUGGCAAAAGUUCUUUGGAAUAGGACAUCAUAGAGGGUGAGAAUCCCGUAUUUGGUCAUUCCUCCUAGCGUUGUGAUACACUUUCAACGAGUCGGAUUGUUUGGGAAUGCAGUCCAAAAUGGGUGGUAAAUUUCAUCUAAAGCUAAAUAUUGGCGAGAGACCGAUAGCGAACAAGUACCGUGAGGGAAAGAUGAAAAGAACUUUGAAAAGAGAGUUAAACAGUACGUGAAAUUGUCAAAAGGGAAGCGUUUGACACCAGUGUUGUUUUUCCGAAAAUCAAUUACGAAUGUUUUAUUUUUGAGGAGUUAUGACUUCAUCGGCUUGCUCCUUUCUUUACGAAACUUUCUUAAUGCACUUUUCGGUUAACAAGUCAACAUCAAUUUCUUUUGUUGUAAAAGGGUAUGAGGAAGGUGGCUUUCUUUUCGGAGAAAGUGUUUAUAGCCUUGUGCCUCUGCAAUCGAAGAGAUUGAGGUCUGCAGCGUAGAUCCUUCGGGGUUAGAUACAGUUUGUGCUAAGCUAUAGCCUUUCAUAGACAACUUGUUGACUAUGAUUCAGUCAUGUAGCUUACUCGCUGAUGCUAUUUUACCUACGCUUAGGAUGUUGAUAGUCACAGCGUGUAC
rnacentral:rRNA from 1 species